rnacentral:rRNA from 1 species
UCGGGAAUAUUGCGCAAUGGAGGAAACUCUGACGCAGUGACGCCGCGUAUAGGAUGAAGGUUUUCGGAUUGUAAACUAUUGUCAUUAGGGAAGAUAAAAGACAGUACCUGUAGAAUAAGCUCCGGCUAACUACGUGCCAGCAGCCGCGGUAAUACGUAGGGAGCAAGCGUUAUCCGGAUUUAUUGGGUGUAAAGGGUGCGUAGACGGGAAAUUAAGUUAGUUGUGAAAUCCCUUGGCUUAAACUGAGGAACUGCAACUAAAACUGGUUUUCUUGAGUGCUGGAGAGGAAAGUGGAAUUCCUAGUGUAGCGGUGAAAUGCGUAGAUAUUAGGAGGAACACCAGUGGCGAAGGCGACUUUCUGGACAGUAACUGACGUUGAGGCACGAAAGUAGUGGGGA